GCAAAAACUAGCACAUAUACUAAAAUUGGAACGAUACAGAGAAGAUUAGCAGAGCCCCUGUGCAAGGAUGACGUGCAAAUUUGUGAAGUGUUCCAUAUUUUU